GUCUCUCAUGUACACUCAAAGUUCACUCACACAUUCUCAUUUAAUGAAUGUGUGUCAGCGAAGAGGCAUUAUAAUACAUCAAAGAGCUUCAAAAACUUCUGGGUAAUAACCUGGACAGUAUCUGCUGUGUAACUGCGCGCUCUCGCGCUUCCUGCACGAGGAAGACUCGAGUACUGGACGGAUGAUUCGGACUGUGUAACCGAACCGGUCAGAACUAUGGUCCUCUGGGGUCCCUUAAAGCCUCAUAGAGACUACAUCGCGAAGGAUAUAAUCUUUGGAUUUUGUUAACCAGUUUCGGUUAAUCGUCUGUUGGAUACCAGAGUGAAACUGUUGCGCAAUGGAGUUGACGUGGUGUAGAGCUCAACUGCUCCUAUUGGCCACCGCCUGUGUGUCUUCACUGGAAGUUCUGGAACGAGUCGUACACACACCAGAAAACAACGUCAUCUGUCCUCAGGCUCUUUCAAACUGCAGUGUGAGCGAUACAGAACCAAUCGAGUUC